rnacentral:rRNA from 1 species
ACACGUAGGGGGCGAGCGUUGUUCGGAAUCAUUGGGCGUAAAGGGCGUGCAGGCGGUCCUGCAAGUCCGGCGUGAAAGACCCCGGCCCAACCGGGGGGACGCGCUGGAAACUGCAGGGCUUGAGUACAGGAGGGGAUGCCGGAAUUCCAGGUGUAGGGGUGAAAUCUGUAGAUAUCUGGAAGAACACCAAUGGCGAAGGCAGGCAUCUGGCCAUGUACUGACGCUGAGACGCGAAGGUGCGGGGAGCAAACAGGUUUAGAUACCCGGGUAGUCCGCACAGUAAACGAUGUGCACCAGGUGGCGGGGGGUCGACCCCCGGUACCGUAGCUAACGCAUUAAGUGCACCGCCUGGGGAGUAUGCUCGCAAGGGUGAAACUCAAAGGAAUUGACGGGG